rnacentral:tRNA from 1 species
GGGCAUGUAACUCAGUGGCCAGAGUACGUGGCUACGAACUACGGAGUCGGGGGUUCGAAUCCCUCCUUGCUCA